UACGGAGGGUGCGAGCGUUGUCCGGAAUCAUUGGGCGUAAAGGGCGCGUAGGUGGCUUCUUAAGCGUGCGGUGAAAGCCUGGGGCUCAACCCCGGGUCGGCCGUGCGAACUGGGGGGCUGGAGCACUGUAGAGGCAGGCGGAAUUCCGGGUGUAGCGGUGAAAUGCGCAGAUAUCAGGAGGAACACCGAUGGCGAAGGCAGGUCUCUGGGCAUUAACUGACGCUGAGGAGCGAAAGCAUGGGGAGCGAACAGG
rnacentral:rRNA from 1 species